CCGGGUUCCAGACUGCCCGGAGCCAGCUGUGUCAUUGUUUUGGGCAAGUCACAUCAUUUUCCUCUUUGAACUCUCACCUAUAGAACCAGGACUUGGACCAGAUGAACUCCAUGCUCCUUUGGGCUCUGCCUUUGGGACCUUGGGUGUCUUUGUUGGGUUAUUUUCAUUUCCAGCACUUCGUUGCAUUUCUUGCUAAAUAGAAUGCUUCUUUGGACCAGGACUUGUGGGCUCCAGAUGCAUUUGUCAUUCUUGUGUCACCUGGUUUCUGACGGGGUCCAGCCAGAGGGAGGCACUGGCAGAAGACCAAAGGGGAUCAGGAAAGGAGAGACCAGGGUGUUUCUCCUCCCCUCUGCCUUCAGAGGUGUCUCUGGCAGAGAAUUUGCAUUUCUUCCUUGGUUCUAGCUCCUGCUCCGGUUCCAGUUUCUUACAGGGUAAGCCUAAGCCUUGGGUUGCUGCGAUCCUGCCUCUUCCUGUUGUUCCGCCAGCUUACGGGUGAUAGUGGCUUCCUGCUAUUAUUCAUCUCUGAACUGAAAGACACUAUUUUCUAGUUGUCUUUCCAGCUCUUCACCUAGCAUUCACCCUCACAGGUUCUGGAACAAGCUCCAAGGCAGAGGGAUGAUGGCCUGGCUGAGCCGCACCGCGCAGGCGCUCUUCCCCAGCGCAGACGCCCUGCUCUGUCCUGACAGUCCCGCGUUGCCCUCAAUCUGAAGGUAUGGAUAAUUAAGGUGCCCUUGCAGUCAGGUUGGAGCUACAGAAUUAUUUGCUGAUUUGCGUCCCCAGCCCUCUCCUUUUUUGUUGUUGUGGUAGCCUUGGAGGACUCUAUCCCAGAUGAUAAAAUACAAGAGCGAAAUUUUUGGACUCAUCCUGGUCUUUGUGUGCAUGAAAAAUAAAGUUGUAUUACGUUAAG
rnacentral:lncRNA from 10 species